GCCUGGCUGGCUCAGUCGGUAAAGCAUGUGACUCUUGAUCUCAGGGUCGUGAGUUCGAACCCCAUGCUGGGAG
rnacentral:tRNA from 1 species